GUGGGAUGUUCUACUGCAUUAAAGAUGUUAUUUAAAUGCGGUUGCGGUUGUUAAUGCAGGUGACAUGUAAACCUAACAUUUGCUGCUGUUCGACUUCUUGACUGAACCGGUGCAGCCAAUACCAAGGCCAUUGCAGCGGAGAGUGGCGCGAGCCGGGCGGAUGCGAGGUCAGGGUAGAGAGGCAGUUGGGAAGGUCAUUGGCAGGAGUGUCCAUGCGAGAGAAUAACACCAUUGACAGAUUGCCAGCUCAUUCUUUAAAUGCUGACUCACUGAGUCUCUUCAAGAGGAGCAGAACCUAUCUUUGCCUGAGGUGGGGAUCGAUAAGCACAGGAAAUGGGUACUGCAAUUGUUUCUUGGCUCAGAGGUCAGGGAAGAUUUUUCCAGUACAAACUGGAAGAAGUAUUUCUGUGGUAUGUACUACAACCAAAUUAUACUCUUGCCAUACUUACUGUACCACCCAUAUAUUGAAACAAAAUUCUGCUGCACUUGUGCAUGUUAUUAUAAUAGCUUAAGUGAAUUGCACAUUCCAAAAUAUUGGUAAUGUUGUAUUAGUAUAAGCAGGUCAAAUCCAGGAAGA